CUCUGAAGCUGCAUGCUGCCCAAGCACAGCAAAGAUUUUAUUGUUGUUUUUUGUUUUCCCCUCCUUCUCACUGCCUACAGAGCCAAAGGGCCUGUUUGUUUUCCUCUUAGUUAUCAGAAAGGUUUAUUUGCGAUUGCUUGAGAGAGGAAAAAAACCCUCUGUAGCCACAGGCAGACAAGCUCAGUGCUCAGGAACAUAAUGGCUGGAGCCUGCAGGCCCAUAUGCUCGCCAUCCUGUGAGGUGGAAGGCCAGCUCCGAUCAUCUCCAGCUGCUCAGGAUACAAUUGAUCAGAUGACUAGGAUGUUCAGCACCACCUGAGACACCCGGGCACAAGCAGCAGGUUUCUCACCUGCAGGUCACCAGCUCACUUCAGAAACCUGUCAUCAUCGUGCUGUCAUUUUUGAUUAAGCCAGGUGAAUUAGCAUUGUAUCCUUGGAUUUUUUUUUUUUUUAAAAGAAAUAUUAAAGAGUAAAAUGAUCACUGAGACACCAUGACCAGACUAUGCGAUAUUAAAAUGAGUCAUCUGGAGUUUCUCUACUUCUAUACCAGCCUCUUCAAAGACACUUAAGGGAAUCAAUUGCCCGUAUCCCACUAAAAUCCUCUCUGUAUGUGGUUCAUGAAGCUCUGAGCCCCUUUCCCAACCCCACAGCCUCCACCCCUCACCUCUGUAGUCUCUCUAGUCCAUUAUUCUUGAGGCUGAUUUGUGAACAAUAUGUUCACUUUCUGUACGGCCUAAUGAAGAUGUUCCUGCCCCUGCAUAUUCUAUCUGCUGCACGCUUAAUGGAAAAAAAUAGCUAUUAUUAUCAUUGGUGGUUCAGAUGAGUUUCUUGGCAGUGAGGGUGGUACAGUUAUGUGGACAAUCAAACAAGCCAGUGAUUACUGCCAAUGCAUUUUUGAGGAAAUCAUUGCUGUUUAAACUCCAAUCACAACAAUACCUCAUUUAAAAGCAUAAAAGCUUUCACUCAGCAGACCUACCUUUUUUUUUUUUUUUUAAUAGCGAGACAAUUAAAUAAAUCUCCUGGCACUUAACCAUCAUUUACCCAACAGUCAGAAAAUGGAUUCAAUGCCUUCACAUUAGUUAGAUUAUGAUAUUAAAGCAGAAACUGAAUAAGUACGAGCAGGUGAAGGAAGAUCUUUGAGGACUGCAUGCAGCACAACUGGCACAGCAUAAUUUCUUUUGCAGGGGACAGGAGGGCAAAUUUUUUUAAACUUAUUCAGAUAUAAACUACAAUCUUAGCACAUAAUAUAUAGUGUUUCAUAGACUUCAGCUUUCUUGGGAGAAUGAAGAAGCUGCUCCUUUUAUAAACCAAAAACUCAAGUACAGUGCUGAUGUACUGAAAUUCUCAUCCUGAAAUUCUGCAUCUGAACCAGGAAUUGAAUCAGGAUGAGGUGAAACUGUACAACGCCAUAACCUUUCUACACUUAAAACUGAUGCCAGCUUUGUUUUGUUAGCAUUUCCAUUAGAACUGAUACAUGGAAACUUAAAUGCAAAUGUGGAUUAAAACUCAGGAGGGUCAAAAAGUUUGAGAUCUAUUGCGUGUUUGCUGGCAUCUUACGAAAGAUUGUAUUAUCUUAAAAGACAGCCCCCAAACUAACACAGAAGCAACUGACCCUGAACUGGUAUGAAUACCAGCCAUUGACAGAUUAUGGGGCUUUUAUUACCUUUAUCCCUGGCUCUAGCACUUCUCCCUCAUUAGGCUCCUCAUGUGAAGAGUAUGUCCUUCUGGUACCAUUCUUCAGAACCUGAUACUAAAUAACUCCUAAAUUUAUGACCUUCAACUGUCAGCUACCAGUGUGUCUGUAACGGGAGCCCUUCUCUCUCUGAGCUAAAAAUAGUGAUAGAACAAAAUCCCUGUUUUCUGAGAAGUUUUCAAAUUUGAGACGGAUUACUAAAUAUUCACAAAC
ensembl:lncRNA